GACGAACGCUGGCGGCGUGCUUAACACAUGCAAGUCGGACGGAAAGGCCCUGCUUUUGUGGGGUGCUCGAGUGGCGAAAGGGUGAGUAACACGUGAGUAACCUGCCCUUGACUUUGGGAUAACUUCAGGAAACUGGGGCUAAUACCGGAUAGGAGCUCCUGCUGCAUGGUGGGGGUUGGAAAGUUUCGGCGGUUGGGGAUGGACUCGCGGCUUAUCAGCUUGUUGGUGGGGUAGUGGCUUACCAAGGCUUUGACGGGUAGCCGGCCUGAGAGGGUGACCGGCCACAUUGGGACUGAGAUACGGCCCAGACUCCUACGGGAGGCAGCAGUGGGGAAUAUUGCACAAUGGGCGGAAGCCUGAUGCAGCAACGCCGCGUGCGGGAUGACGGCCUUCGGGUUGUAAACCGCUUUCGCCUGUGACGAAGCGUGAGUGACGGUAAUGGGUAAAGAAGCACCGGCUAACUACGUG
rnacentral:rRNA from 1 species